rnacentral:lncRNA from 1 species
GUACUGUCUCUGUGAAUUGUCUUUUAAAAGGCGAAUGUCCGAGACCUUUAUCAAAUAGAACAGUCAUUUGUAUUCCAGUGGUCAUCAAAACUAUUCCCACCAUAAAAAAUUAAAACAUCACGAUAUGAAUAUCAUGCGUCCGAAGCGCUUUUCUAGUUUAACCUUCAUCGGGACGCUCAAAGACGAAUAUUUGAAAGCCAAGGAUUUAUAUGGUACAUACAAAGAACCUUAUCGUCCAAAAAGGUGAAAAUAACUAACAGAUAACAACGCCAAAUGGUCUCAUCUGUUGUGAAUUCCUUUAUAUAGUUUCCUGUGUGAAACU